UGUAACACAUGCGAAGUAACUUUGAGAUUGAAAACGAAAUAUAUCAAAACGUUCAGCAAAUUAUUGAUUUAUAAGCAGAAGACAUCAAGCCAUUACUUGGUUUUAUCCAUAAGAAUGGGAGCUGAAAAUGGUAAAAUUAUAGAAUUGAAAACCAAAUGCCUUGUAAUCACUUCUUUUUAGUGGGAUAAGAAGCCAUUUUAUAGAUUCCACAUAUUCCUGCAGGCUUGCCAGUGUUUCUCUUCAUUCUUAUGUAACCCUUUUCUCCCCAUUUAGGUCCCCAUGAAUUCUUAACAGUUAUGUAAUCCAAUCCUUUGCUUGAUCCAUAUCCAACGGCUGCCACUCCGUGAUCUAGCUCAGUUCCACAGUGACCAUCAAAAACACCCUAUAUAUAAGAUGGUGAUGCAACUCUGUCAUUAUAAAAUGGCUAUGCAUUAUGCAUUUACAUUGGAUAAUGGAAAAUACUUACCCCACUAUAAAACUGGAAGUCCCUACCAGAGGCCUCAAUGGCCACGCUGAGGGGCUGAUUUGCAAGUGCCUUCAAUAAGCUUUCUUCACUGUUCUGGGGCACGUCCUUGUACCCACUAAUAGUUACCACCGCCGAUUCUCCCUUCCUCAUCUCACAAGUGCCCUCUUCCAUGAUAUAUGGGUAAUCUUCCUCCUUGUGGAGUCCACCACUGGAAGCUAUGUAGGCAAAUGCAUAAUCCAUGAGCCCUCCGUUGCAUCCAUUGUUAUAGGUAGUGUCACAAUCGAUCAGCUCUUGCUCUGACAGAGAUGUCAAAUUUCCAGUAACAAUCUGAUUUAUGCCUUCUACUGCGGCUACUGUUGAAAAUGCCCAGCAACUGCCGCAUGAACCUUGGUUCUUGACACUAGUAACAGCUCCUUUCCUUCUCCAAUCCACAGACUUGGGAAUAUUCUCAACAUCCUUAUAAGUGAAUUCCUCAGGACAGUCUCUUCUUUUAGACAAGUCAGGCUUCAAUCCUAGAUACUUAUUCUUGAACUCCUCAUGGCUCAAAUCUGAAAACUCAUUGAGUCCAAGCCAGUAGUUUUUAACCUUCUUAUUAGUCUCAUCAAUAUGAAGCAAGUUAUCUUUGAAAAUUUCGAAUCUUAGCAACUUCUCUUCAACACUCUCAUAAACCUUUUCAAAUUUUGACAUCCAUGAUUCGAAAAGAUCAAUGAGCUUGUCAUUGGAUGUCAAGUCUUCUUGGGAAUAGCCAACGAUUGAGAAAUCGCGAGCAUGUCCCGAGUAGGCAAAGAAAGAAGAAACAGAGAAGGCAAGAAGGAGCAUCAGAGAAUAUGAAGAAAGAGCCAUUUUGGGUUGGAUAUAUAUGAAAA
rnacentral:misc_RNA from 1 species